rnacentral:tRNA from 1 species
GGUGGCUCAGUGGCAGAGUGCUUGCCUUGAAUGCAUGAGGCCUUGGGUUCGAUUCCUGAGCACCA